UGAAUACGAGAUGCUACGGCAUUGAAGCAGUGUAUGUCAGACUUCCAAGAAAAGCUCGCAAUGUCAUAAACAAUAAAUGCCUGUACCAUAACCGACACAGGUGGGUAGGUAGAGUAUACUAAGGGGCGCGAGAUAACUCUCUCUAAGGAACUCGGCAAAAUGACUCCGUAACUUCGGGAGAAGGAGUGCCUUAUUUUAUAAGGUUGCAAUAACAAGAUCCAAGCAACUGUUUACCAAAAACACGGGUCUCCGCUAAGUCGAAAGACGAUGUAUGGGGGCUGACGCCUGCCCAGUGCCAGAAGGUUAAAGAAGUUGGUUAGCUUCGGCGAAGCUGAUGACUGAAGCCCUGGUGAACGGCGGCCGUAACAAUAACGGUCCUAAGGUAGCGAAAUUCCUUGUCGGGUAAGUUCCGACCCGCACGAAAGGCGUAAUGAUUUGGAUACUGUCUCGGAGAGGGGCUCGGUGAAAUAGACUUGUCUGUGAAGAUGCGGACUACCUGCACCUGGACAGAAAGACCCUAUGAAGCUUUACUGUAACUUGAGAUUGAAAUUGGACUUUAUUUGCGCAGUAUAGGUGGGAGACGUUGAGAAUAUUCUUGCGGGAAUAUUGGAGUCAUCAGUGAGAUACCACUCUUGUAAUGUUAGAUUUCUAACUUUGUAUCAUUAUCUGGUCAAAGGACAGUUUCAGGCGGGCAGUUUGACUGGGGCGGUCGCCUCCUAAACGGUAACGGAGGCGCACAAAGGUUUCCUCUGAACGUGUAGAAAUCGUAUCUAGAGUGUAAAGGCAUAAGGAAGCUUGACUGUGAGACCUACAAGUCGAGCAGGGACGAAAGUCGGUCUUAGUGAUCUGACGGUGCUGAGUGGAAAGGCCGUCACUCAACGGAUAAAAGUUACUCUAAGGAUAACAGGCUGAUCUCCCCCAAGAGUUCACAUCGACGGGGAGGUUUGGCACCUGGAUGUCGGCUCAUCGCAUCCUGGGGCGGUAGUACGUCCCAAGGGUUGGGCUGUUCGCCCAUGAAAGCGGUACGCGAGCUGGGUUCAGAACGUCGUGAGACAGUUCGGUCCAUAUCCGGUGUAGGCGUUAGAAUAUUGAGAGGAGCCUUCUUUAGUACGAGAGGACCGAGAAGGACAUACCUCUGGUGUACCAGUUAUCGUGCCAACGGUAAACGCUGGGUAGCUAUGUAUGGAGUGGAUAACCGCUGAAAGCAUCUAAGUGGGAAGCCCACCUCAAGAUAAGUAUUCUC
rnacentral:rRNA from 1 species